rnacentral:rRNA from 1 species
CGGACAACGCUGGCGGCACGCCUAACACAUGCCAAGUCGAACGGACUUAAACGGAGCUUGCUCUUUUAAGUUAGUGGCGGACGGGUGAGUAACACGUGAGCAACCUGCCUUUCUGAGGGGGAUAACGUUUGGAAACGAACGCUAAUACCGCAUAACAUAUAUUUAUCGCAUGAUAGAUAUAUCAAAGGAGCAAUCCGCAGAAAGAUGGGCUCGCGUCUGAUUAGCUAGUUGGUGAGGUAAUGGCUCACCAAGGCAACGAUCAGUAGCCGGACUGAGAGGUUGAACGGCCACAUUGGGACUGAGACACGGCCCAGACUCCUACGGGAGGCAGCAGUGGGGAAUAUUGCACAAUGGGGGAAACCCUGAUGCAGCGAUGCCGCGUGGAGGAAGAAGGUUUUCGGAUUGUAAACUCCUGUCUUCAGGGACGAUAAUGACGGUACCUGAGGAGGAAGCACCGGCUAACUACGUG